CAUGAAAGGAUAACUAAAAACUUAUUUUGUUGAUAUAGAGAAUCAAUAAGUAAUGCUAGUGGAAGAAGAGUCCAUACCGCAACAGUUUGGACAUUCUGUAAACUCGUAAACAUCCUUAGCACGUUUCCGGUUGAGAGCUUUCCAUUUUCCUGUACCACCACACAUAUCACCUAAAUAAGGAACAAAUUAACAUCUUGUGAAU